AGGAGUUUAGGUUAAACAGACCGAGAGCCUUCAAAGCCCUAAGUAAAUUAUAUCUAUUUAACUCCUG
rnacentral:tRNA from 1 species